rnacentral:rRNA from 1 species
CAUGGCUCAAAUUGAACGCUGGCGGAAUGCUUCCUUUUGCAAGUCGAACGGCAGCACGGAGAGCUUGCUCUCUGGUGGCGAGUGGCGAACGGGUGAGUAAUAUAUCGAACCGUGUCCAAUAAUGGGGGAUAACGAGUCAAAAGAUUCGCUAAUACCGCAUACCCCCUACGGGGGAAAGCAGGGGAUCGUAAGACCUUGCGUUAAUGGAGCGGCCGAUAUCUGAUUAGCUUGUUGGUGAGGUAAAGGCUCACCAAGGCAACAAUCAGUAGCUGGUUUGAGAGAACGACCAGCCACACUGGAACUGAAACACGGUCCAAACUCCUACGGGAGGCAGCAGUGGGGAAUUUUGGACAAUGGGGGCAACCCUGAUCCAGCCAUUCCGCGUGAGUGAAGAAGGCCUUCGGGUUGUAAAGCUCUUUCGCAAGGGAAGAAAACUUAUGAUCGAAUAAAUCAUGAGGUUGACGGUACCUUGAUAAGAAGCACCGGCUAACUACGUG